CUCGGUCUUCCAAUCCAAAUGGUUGUCCCAUAAUGAACAUAGAUGUACCUACAAAUAUUAAUAAAGCAAACUUCUCACAAAAAAUCAUUUCUCAUUAGUUAAUCCAUUUCUUUACCAUUUUUACGAAAGAUUCACCAAGUCAUUCGUUUUUCGGUAAAGCGACACUGACAUGAGAUAUCAAAUCAACCGGUUCAGUGGUGAUGAUAUAUGUUGGGAUUGAACCCUAUCAGAGGAACAGAUAAUUAGAGCCAAAACUGAAUCAGUCAAAGACUGAUGAAGAACUAAAGCCCUGCUGCCCAAUCUACUGCCUUGAGUCAAGCACUGCUGAUCAUGACAAGUACUACUGGGUUCACAGCAGUGGAAGGAUGCAGCAGUAGUUUUGUUUACUUUAUGUAAUGUAUUGUAAUAUCAGUAGUUAGCAUAGCAGAGGUUGUAUAGAUCAAAGGUUAGAGUUUGUUAGGAGGUUAGAUGUCACUUUCAUGGUGACGUCAGCUUAGAUACUUCAGUGGUUUGCUCGUGCCUAUAAAUAGAACAGUGCUCUGUACUGUUCUAUUAGCUCUUUCACCAUCUUCUUCCUGCACGAACAAAUACUAUGAGCUCAGGCUGAAGGGGAGUUUGUAUUCAUUCAUGCAUUGUAAUCGUUAUUGAAAUAAAUUCAAUCUUUCGGUUCUUUGUU
rnacentral:lncRNA from 1 species